GGCAGCAGAAUGGUUCACAGUUCUAGA
rnacentral:piRNA from 1 species